CCUACGGGAGGCAGCAGUGGGGAAUAUUGGGCAAUGGGCGCAAGCCUGACCCAGCAACGCCGCGUGAAGGAAGAAGGCUUUCGGGUUGUAAACUUCUUUUCUCAGGGACGAAGAAAGUGACGGUACCUGAGGAAUAAGCCACGGCUAACUACGUGCCAGCAGCCGCGGUAAUACGUAGGUGGCAAGCGUUAUCCGGAUUUAUUGGGUGUAAAGGGCGUGUAGGCGGGAGCGCAAGUCAGAUGUGAAAACUCAGGGCUCAACCCUGAGCCUGCAUUUGAAACUGUGUUUCUUGAGUGCUGGGGAGGCAAUCGGAAUUCGGGGUGUAGCGGUGAAAUGCGUAGAUAUACGGAGGAACACCAGUGGCGAAGGCGGAUUGCUGGACAGUAACUGACGCUGAGGCGCGAAAGCGUGGGGAGCAAACAGGAUUAGAUACCCGGGUAGUC
rnacentral:rRNA from 1 species